rnacentral:rRNA from 1 species
UGAGGAACAUGACCUUCGGCGGGGGAUAGCCGGCCCAACGGCCGGGUAAUACCGCGUACGACCACUUUGGGACAUCCCUCGGUGGUGAAAGCAGCAAUGCGCCGAUGGAGUGCCUCGCGGCCUAUCAGCUAGUUGGUGAGGUAACGGCUCGCCAAGGCGACGACGGGUAGCUGGUCUGAGAGGAUGGCCAGCCACAUUGGGACUGAGACACGGCCAGGACUCCUACGGGAGCAG